CCUACGGGCGGCAGCAGUGAGGAAUAUUGGUCAAUGGACGAGCGUCUGAACCAGCCAAGUAGCGUGAAGGAUGACUGCCCUAUGGGUUGUAAACUUCUUUUAUAUGGGAAUAAAACGUUCCACGUGUGGGAUUUUGUAUGUACCAUAUGAAUAAGGAUCGGCUAACUCCGUGCCAGCAGCCGUGGUAAUACGGAGGAUCCGAGCGUUAUCCGGAUUUAUUGGGUUUAAAGGGAGCGUAGGUGGAUUGUUAAGUCAGUUGUGAAAGUUUGCGGCUCAACCGUAAAAUUGCAGUUGAAACUGGCAGUCUUGAGUACAGUAGAGGUGGGCGGAAUUCGUGGUGUAGCGGUGAAAUGCUUAGAUAUCACGAAGAACUCCGAUUGCGAAGGCAGUUCACUGGACUGCAACUGACACUGAGGCUCGAAAGUGUGGGUAUCAAACAGGAUUAGAUACCCCAGUAGUC
rnacentral:rRNA from 1 species